rnacentral:lncRNA from 1 species
AUAGGGUUUAGGGUUUAGGGUUUAGAGUUUAGGGUUUAGGUUUAGGGUUUAGGGUUUAGGGUUUAGAAUUUAGGGUUUAGGGUUUAGAGUUUAGGGAUUAGGGUUUAGGGUUUAGAGUUUAGGAUUUAGGGUUUAGAGUUUAGGGUUUAGGGUUUAGAAUUGAGAAAUGAGGUUUUAGAGAUAAGAUAUAAACUUAGAAAUGUGCUAUUUUGGUCAUUUUAGUUUUUGAGUGCUAUUUUUGUGAUAUAAACUUAGAAAUGUGCUAUUUUGGAUAUUUGCCCUAAAUUAUACUAUGAAGUCGUUUAUGAUAUAUAUAUAUAUAUAUAUAUAUUACCAGUCCAAUAUAUAUAUAUAUGAACUGAAAAUAUAUAGACAUCAAUAAUUUAACCAAAUUUUAAUAUAUUGUUAUGAAAAAUACUUUAAUGGUGAUGAGAAAUUCUAAUAUUGACUAGUAUAGAAGUCGUGUUUUGGACUAAUCAAUAUAAUUAUAGUAGACAUUAUAGAACUAUAUGUUUUGUCUUGAGAGAAAUGGGUAACGUGUUACAUAUGUUUUAUUAUCUUUAGUAUAUUAGGCAUAAUAGGUGUCGACAUAUUUAUGUGUAUUGUUGGUCUCUUUUCCAAUCUCCAAAUCAACCUUAAUGAGAUAAUGGUUUUUAUACAAAACUAUAAUAUCACAAUACUAAAAGGAACAUAUAAACCUCCCACAUUGCUCUUCAGAUUAAUUAUAAUCAACCAAUCAGAAUUCAUUAUUUUUGCCAUGUCACACUCAAAUUGGGCUGAUUUUGUUGCUGAUCCGUAAGCCACAGCAUUGUUGGGCUAUAUUAGUUAUUGAUGCACCUGGUUUGUUAUUAAUUAGUAUAUAUGAUAUUUAGACCCAGUAGCCCAAUGCACCCGAAUCCUUAAAACGCAGAUCUUUAAUCAUUUCGUCGACAUCCUCUCUUCAUCGUUUCAUCUUUUUUUCUUUUUGAAAGAUUCAUCGUUUCAUCUUUCUCAACGGUUCGUCGAUCAAUCGACACACUACUCCAUAAUUGAUCAAUGAAUCCUCCAGAAAUCCCAUUUAUGUCUUCCUUUCACCUUCCUUCCUCUCAAUUUCUAUAACAUUCCUCCCAAUAGAUAGUAAUCCACCAGAAAGUCUUCCGUAGCCACUGGCAAUGCCGAAUUUCUAGAUCGAACGAACACACAUGCCUUUCAUAUGUUCAUGUCUGCCUUUCUUCAGGUUCCAACUCCCUUUUUCACAAUAUAUAAACAUAUCCUCUGAUUCUAUGCUCCACCAUCAUACAC